GAUGAACGCUGGCGGCGUGCUUAACACAUGCAAGUCGAACGGUGAAGGCGGAGCUUGCUCUGCUGGAUCAGUGGCGAACGGGUGAGUAACACGUGAGCAAUCUGCCCCUGACUCUGGGAUAAGCGCUGGAAACGGCGUCUAAUACUGGAUACGAGCUGCGAAGGCAUCUUCAGCAGCUGGAAAGAAUUUCGGUCAGGGAUGAGCUCGCGGCCUAUCAGCUUGUUGGUGAGGUAAUGGCUCACCAAGGCGUCGACGGGUAGCCGGCCUGAGAGGGUGACCGGCCACACUGGGACUGAGACACGGCCCAGACUCCUACGGGAGGCAGCAGUGGGGAAUAUUGCACAAUGGGCGAAGGCCUGAUGCAGCAACGCCGCGUGAGGGACGACGGCCUUCGGGUUGUAAACCUCUUUUAGCAGGGAAGAAGCGAAAGUGACGGUACCUGCAGAAAAAGCGCCGGCUAACUACGUC
rnacentral:rRNA from 1 species